UGCUAUACAUGCAAGUCGAACGCACAGCGAAAGGUGCUUGCACCUUUCAAGUGAGUGGCGAACGGGUGAGUAACACGUGGACAACCUGCCUCAAGGCUGGGGAUAACAUUUGGAAACAGAUGCUAAUACCGAAUAAAACUUAGUGUCGCAUGACACAAAGUUAAAAGGCGCUUCGGCGUCACCUAGAGAUGGAUCCGCGGUGCAUUAGUUAGUUGGUGGGGUAAAGGCCUACCAAGACAAUGAUGCAUAGCCGAGUUGAGAGACUGAUCGGCCACAUUGGGACUGAGACACGGCCCAAACUCCUACGGGAGGCUGCAGUAGGGAAUCUUCCACAAUGGGCGAAAGCCUGAUGGAGCAACGCCGCGUGUGUGAUGAAGGCUUUCGGGUCGUAAAGCACUGUUGUAUGGGAAGAACAGCUAGAAUAGGAAAUGAUUUUAGUUUGACGGUACCAUACCAGAAAGGGACGGCUAAAUACGUGCCAGCAGCCGCGGUAAUACGUAUGUCCCGAGCGUUAUCCGGAUUUAUUGGGCGUAAAGCGAGCGCAGACGGUUUAUUAAGUCUGAUGUGAAAGCCCGGAGCUCAACUCCGGAAUGGCAUUGGAAACUGGUUAACUUGAGUGCAGUAGAGGUAAGUGGAACUCCAUGUGUAGCGGUGGAAUGCGUAGAUAUAUGGAAGAACACCAGUGGCGAAGGCGGCUUACUGGACUGCAACUGACGUUGAGGCUCGAAAGUGUGGGUAGCAAACAGGAUUAGAUACCCUGGUAGUCCACACCGUAAACGAUGAACACUAGGUGUUAGGAGGUUUCCGCCUCUUAGUGCCGAAGCUAACGCAUUAAGUGUUCCGCCUGGGGAGUACGACCGCAAGGUUGAAACUCAAAGGAAUUGACGGGGACCCGCACAAGCGGUGGAGCAUGUGGUUUAAUUCGAAGCAACGCGAAGAACCUUACCAGGUCUUGACAUCCUUUGAAGCUUUUAGAGAUAGAAGUGUUCUCUUCGGAAACAAGUGAC
rnacentral:rRNA from 1 species